rnacentral:rRNA from 1 species
AUGGAGCAACAGCGACGGGAGCCGGCGCCGGAGACGGAGGUCACCCUGCGCGAGUUCACCGAGGCCGACGCGGAGGCGCUCUUCGCGUGGGCGUCCGACCCGCGCGUCGUGCUCUUCCAGCGCCGCGAGGCCUACGCGCGCGUGGACGAGGCCCGCCGCUACAUCCUCGACCACGUCCUCCCGCACCCGUGGUACCGCGCCAUCUGCCUCGGCGCCGUGGCGGUGGGCUCCAUCUCCGUCAAGCCCUGCUGCCCCGCGGGGGAGGAGGGGGAGGGCGCGCCGAGGGCGUCCCUGGGCUACCGCGUCGCGCACGGCCACUGGGGCCGCGGCGUCGCGACGCGCGCGGUGCGGAUGGCCGCGGCGGCGGCGUUCGCGGAGUGGCCGGGGCUGGCGCGGCUGGAGGCGGUGGCCGACGUGGAGAACCCGGCGUCGCAGCGCGUGCUGGAGAAGGCCGGGUUCGUGAGGGAGGGCGUGCUCCGGCGCUUCGUCGUGCUCAAGGGCCGGCCCAGGGACAUGGUCAUGUUCAGCCUCGUCGACUCGGACCGCGACGAGAGGGCCAAGCCAAAAUUAUUACUACAAGUGAAAGAACCAUUUGAAUUGAAUAAGGAAGGCCGGCGGGGAGCGAUGGACCCUGACGGCGACGCGCGGCAUCAGCAGCGGCGGCGACAGGAGGAGGAGGAGGGCCCGGUGGUGUCGCUCCGGCCGCUGGGCCUGGCGGACGUGGACGACUUCAUGGCGUGGGCGUCGGACGAGCGCGUGAUGCGCCACCUGAAGCGCCCCAUGUGCGCGACGAGGGAGCAGGCCGUGGCGCAGAUCAGGGACACCGUGCUCGGCCACCCGUGGUUCCGCGCCGUCUGCGUGGCGGGGCGCCCCGUGGGGCAGGUCUCCGUGUGGCCCUACCCCGACGACGGCGGCCACAGGGCCAACCUCGGCUACGCGCUGGCGCACGACCACUGGGGCCGCGGCGUCGCCUCCACCGCCAUCAGGAUGGUGGUGGGGAGGGUGUUCGAGGAGCUGCCGGGGCUGGGGAGGCUGGAGGCGGUGACGGACGUCGGGAACGUCCGGUCGCAGCGGGCGCUGGAGAAGGCCGGGUUCCAGAGGGAAGGGGUGCUGCGCAGCUACAUCGUCCGCCCCGGCGCCGGCGCCGGCGAGGCCGGGGACGCGGCGGUGUACAGCUUCUUGUCGUCCGACCCACGUCCUCCGCUAGCGUGA